GACGAACGCUGGCGGCGUGCUUAACACAUGCAAGUCGAACGGUGAAAGAGGGAGCUUGCUCCCUUCGGGUUAGUGGCGAACGGGUGAGUAACACGUGAGCAAUCUGCCCCGAACUCUGGGAUAAGCGCGGGAAACGACGUCUAAUACCGGAUAAGACGCGGGAGGGCAUCGUCCAAGAGUGGAAAGCCCUUCGGUUUGGGAUGAGAGCGCGGCCCAUCAGCUUGUUGGUGAGGGAACGGGUCACCAAGGCGACGACGGAUAGCCCGCCUGCGAGGGUGACCGGCCUCCCUGGGCCUGAGACACGCCCCAGUCUCCUACGUGCGGCAGCAGUCGGAAAUCUUGCACAGUGGGCGCAAGCCUGAUGCAGCGGCGUCGCGUUCGUGACGACCGCCUUCUGGUUGUAAACCUCUUUUAGCAGGGAAGUAGCGAUAGUGACGGUACCUGCAGAAAAAGCACCGGCUAACUACGUG
rnacentral:rRNA from 1 species